GAAUUAGGGUUUUCAGAAGUACUUUGAAUCUUUCUGGAAUUUGGUUACUCUCUUGAUUUGGCCUGCAUCUAAGUGAUGCUGGCUUGGCUACUGAGAACUCCAUUCUUGGGCUGUCUGUGAGACUGGGAAUUUUCAGCACUGGUGGUACUUGGAGGUAGGAAUGGCAAAGGAGGCUGGCUGGGGCUCACCAUGUUUUGGCAGUUUUUCAGUUACCUCCACAGCCAGGUCAUCUGAGAUUGGACUCAGUGAAAGGAGAAUAUACAUGUGCUGAGACUGAAGAACAGCCUGCUAUGGAAGGAGCAGACUGAACUGCAAGAGUCCUGCGAGGAGCUGAAGAUGCUCUUGAAGGAGGCCCAUGAGAUGAUCAGUGACUCUUCUGCUGAGCAGCAGCAGGAAGGCUGAAGCUGCGGGGGCAGGGGUCAUGUGAGAUCACAGGGAGGAAGCAGCCUUCAAGGACUAGAGCCCGGUGCCAGUGCCAAGUGAGUGGUUCUCAUUGUCAACGAUUUGGGUGGCAUGUGGUCUUCUCCUUUCUUCCUGCAUCCCAGUGUGUUCUCUUCCUUUUGCCAAGCUCUUGGUUCAAAGUGACAGAAGACUGAGUACCACCUUGUCAGUCUUUUUUCUGGACAUGGUGUUGGACAGUUCUUCCAUCCUGGAGCUUCCAGUCUGGAGCUGACUGGAUGACCAUUGAUGUGGGAGGACUUUGACAGGGUGAGGGUUGGAGUGACAGAUUUGAAGCUGCAAGAAAACAUUUUCUCCAAUCUCCUCAACAUAGUCUGACUAAGCUGUGUGCUCCACUAGGAAUUUUUAGUCCCUAAGGGAUGGAUAGCCCUGUUGUAGGCCUCAGUUGAAACCCUGAUGUGCAUAUUUUAAAUUCAGCUGUUCAUACAGCAUGAUAUACUCUUCACUUUUUUCUGCUCACUUCUGAUUUCUGUGGUCUGUGUGUUAUCUAUGCAGGCGUGUGUAAAUGUGUACAUUAGUGGGUAUGUUCAGAGACUACAAAAUGAAAUCCGUGUUGUCAUCUGUUGCUUACUCCAUUGUUUCCUUGAUCCCAGGUCUUUCACCGAACCUGAAAUUUUCUCUUUCGGCUAAUCUGGCUGGCCAGCACUCUUUGGAUCUCCAGACCUCCAAAGUAGAACUUCUGUCUUGUUUUUUUCUCAUCCAAUUUUAGAAGUUUCAAUUGCUCAGAAGGAGGAAGGACAUAUUUGCUUUCUCUUCUGCUUAUUUACUUUUACUGCUUUUAUACUAAUGAGUUUUCUAAUAAAUAACAAAAAAACAAACAAUACAGCUGUUUUAAAAAUAAA